GAGUUAAGCGCGACUAUAAAAAGCCAUGCUCAAUGGAGUGAAGCUAUUACGAGUCACCAUGGCAACAGGACAACAAAAGAGGCCCGGAAAUGGAUAUGAUACGUCAAGCAAAUAGCGACUAUGAGCCUAUAUUCCGUAGAAAAGGCAACACGGCUGCAGCGGCGAAAGAGAAAAUAGCUGCUCGAGUCAAUGUCCAACAGAAAGUAGGCAGAGGCUAGAACAACUGGUGGAGGACCUGCACCUCCACCACUGACGCAUGCAGAGGAGAAGGCCCUCAGCAUGAACACUGUAAAGCAGAGGCUGAAGGAAUUCCUGGAGGGAGUUCAUCAGAACCAGUCACUCCCCAGGAUACAAGUGCAUUUGUAAAAUAUUCUGAUGUUAAUAUAUGAAUCCUCCUGUCACAACAGAAGCCCAGGAUGUUCCUAAAGGAUGUAACUCGAUCUCCAAGUAUAGUGACUUCAUUAUCUCCCCUCUGCCCCAGAGUGUGGAAGAACAGCAGGAGGAGGUCAGUCACAUUCUGCUGCACGGAUGCACACAGUUCAGUGAUGUUCAGUAAAUGCCAGAGUUCAAUUCUGUAAGAGUAACGAGGAACUAUGUCAUGUAACUCUAAAGCUUCUGUAUUUUCAGUUACCAGUUAAGGAGUUGUAAAAACUACAUCUUAUCAAGAAAAUAGAAAAAAAUAAGGAAAUGUUAUAUUUUGACCGCCAGAUUAAAAAGACAGAUCUAGAAAUUCUCAAUCAAAAGCUGGAGGUGAGUAUAGUUAAAGGUGAAUUGUAUGAAUUAUUGGAAGAAUCAUAAAAUCUAACAACUUUAGUGCUGCAUCAGUGCUCCUGAGUGUGCAGUGCAUGCAUUGAAACAGCGCCUUUCCAGAGGCCACAGCAAGAUGUUAACUGAUCAUUUUUCAGAUUAGCCUCACUGAAACGAAGUAAAUACCACAUAUCUGCAAUACUGUGAAACUUCUCUAAUAGCUGAGGUGUUUGUGGCAAGGAAACACAAAGACCCGCAGAAAGCGCUUGAGGCCGAACGUUUCUACAUCGUAAUGCAACACAAAGAAUGUGCUUGAAUGUAAGAGCACGGCCUCGAUGGGUGACGUGUCUGAUGUAUGGGUGGAUAAGAUUAUUGAUAUAUGUUAUGGAGUCUCGACAAAUAUGGUCCUCCUCCCGCGGCGUAAAUUCAAUGCCGUGUGAAUUAAUACAGCGUCCUCAUCUACAGGAUGGACGGACGAAAAAAACGGACGUGCCAUUUUGGUCUCUGCGCGAAGCCAACAGGUGAAAUCUAUGAACGCACUGAAAGAUUAAACGAGAUCGGCGAAUUUAAAUAGU